AGAGUUUGAUCCUGGCUCAGGACGAACGCUGGCGGCGCGCCUAACACAUGCAAGUCGAACGGAGCUGAGAGGAGCUUGCUUUUCUUAGCUUAGUGGCGAACGGGUGAGUAACGCGUGAGUAACCUGCCCUGGAGUGGGGGACAACAGUUGGAAACGACUGCUAAUACCGCAUAAGCCCACGGAUCCGCAUGGAUCUGCGGGGAAAGGAUUUAUUCGCUUCAGGAUGGACUCGCGUCCAAUUAGCUAGUUGGUGAGGUAACGGCCCACCAAGGCGACGAUUGGUAGCCGGACUGAGAGGUUGAACGGCCACAUUGGGACUGAGACACGGCCCAGACUCCUACGGGAGGCAGCAGUGGGGGAUAUUGCACAAUGGGGGAAACCCUGAUGCAGCGACGCCGCGUGGAGGAAGAAGGUUUUCGGAUUGUAAACUCCUGUCGUUAGGGACGAUAAUGACGGUACCUAACAAGAAAGCACCGGCUAACUACGUGCCAGCAGCCGCGGU
rnacentral:rRNA from 1 species